UGAGGAAUAUUGGUCAAUGGGCGAGAGCCUGAACCAGCCAAGUAGCGUGCAGGAUGACGGCCCUAUGGGUUGUAAACUGCUUUUAUAUGGGAAUAAAGCGAGGGACGUGUCCCUUAUUGCAUGUACCAUACGAAUAAGGACCGGCUAAUUCCGUGCCAGCAGCCGCGGUAAUACGGAAGGUCCAGGCGUUAUCCGGAUUUAUUGGGUUUAAAGGGAGCGUAGGCCGUUUGGUAAGCGUGUUGUGAAAUGUAGGAGCUCAACUUUUAGAUUGCAGCGCGAACUGUCAGACUUGAGUGCGCACAACGUAGGCGGAAUUCAUGGUGUAGCGGUGAAAUGCUUAGAUAUCAUGAAGAACUCCGAUUGCGAAGGCAGCUUACGGGAGCGCAACUGACGCUGAAGCUCGAAGGUGCGGGUAUCGAACAGG
rnacentral:rRNA from 1 species